rnacentral:lncRNA from 1 species
AUGAAUUUCACAACAUUCUGUAGUUAUUGCUUCUAUACACUCGAUUUCAAAGCUUUUAUGUGUAGCCUCAAUAAACAUGAACUGAACCCCUACUAUUUUAUUGAUGCUUUACUGAAAAUCACUCCAAUCACUCUUUUUUCCAUUUUCAGAGGAGUUCUUCGUGUCGUGUCAGAUGAGGGCAUAUUGACUGACCAUCUAAUUACACUGUCAUUAAUACUGACAUAGUUUAUCGCUUAUCAAGAGAUUAAGAGCAAAACACAUACUACAAAAUGCAAGAUUCUUGUAUUUCAAACCAGCUGAUAUUCAGGUAUGUGACAAAAAAGUGAAAUGUGACAGGUUUUUGUC